AACGAACGCUGGCGGCAGGCCUAACACAUGCAAGUCGAGCGAUUCUCUUCGGAGAAGAGCGGCGGACGGGUGAGUAACGCGUGGGUAACCUGCCCUGUACACACGGAUAACAUACCGAAAGGUAUGCUAAUACGAGAUAAUAUGCUUUUAUCGCAUGGUAGGAGUAUCAAAGCUCCGGCGGUACAGGAUGGACCCGCGUCUGAUUAGCUAGUUGGUAAGGUAACGGCUUACCAAGGCGACGAUCAGUAGCCGACCUGAGAGGGUGAUCGGCCACAUUGGAACUGAGACACGGUCCAAACUCCUACGGGAGGCAGCAGUGGGGAAUAUUGCACAAUGGGCGAAAGCCUGAUGCAGCAACGCCGCGUGAGCGAUGAAGGCCUUCGGGUCGUAAAGCUCUGUCCUCAAGGAAGAUAAUGACGGUACUUGAGGAGGAAGCCCCGGCUAACUACGUGCCAGCAGCCGCGGUAA
rnacentral:rRNA from 1 species